rnacentral:rRNA from 1 species
AUUGAACGCUGGCGGCAGGCCUAACACAUGCAAGUCGAGCGGAUGAAGGGAGCUUGCUCCUGGAUUCAGCGGCGGACGGGUGAGUAAUGCCUAGGAAUCUGCCUGGUAGUGGGGGAUAACGUCCGGAAACGGGCGCUAAUACCGCAUACGUCCUGAGGGAGAAAGUGGGGGAUCUUCGGACCUCACGCUAUCAGAUGAGCCUAGGUCGGAUUAGCUAGUUGGUGGGGUAAAGGCCUACCAAGGCGACGAUCCGUAACUGGUCUGAGAGGAUGAUCAGUCACACUGGAACUGAGACACGGUCCAGACUCCUACGGGAAGCAGCAGUGGGGAAUAUUGGACAAUGGGCGAAAGCCUGAUCCAGCCAGGCCGCGUGUGUGAAGAAGGUCUUCGGAUUGUAAAGCACUUUAAGUUGGGAGGAAGGGCAGUAAGUUAAUACCUUGCUGUUUUGACGUUACCAACAGAAUAAGCACCGGCUAACUUAGUG